rnacentral:lncRNA from 1 species
CAUUUUGGAGAUUAUCUGUGCUGCCCUUCUCAUAGCAGGCUCAGAGCACCAGGUCCUUGAGGGCAGAACAGUUUCAAAAAAGGGGCCCAAAACACUUGUGAAACCAUGGGGCUUGUUGCUCAGGAUGUCUUGUUUCUUUCCCACACAUUCAGAUACAAUGUUCCUCAGUCACCUCAGGUACAGCUCAUGCAGGCCACCACUUCAGGCCACCACUUUUUGAUAUGCUUUCUGGUAUUAUUCCAUUCUGAGUUUCAAUAACUGAUAAGCUAGUGAUGAAUUUUCAAAUGUUUUACAAGACUGUUACACAUUUUCACUUUCAGAUAUUUAUAUGUUUUUUAGUUUGUGAUUUUUACAUAAUCAGACAAUGACAAAAUUAAAAGAGACUUUUUUUUUUGAGACGGAGUCUCCCUGUUAAUGUUUCUUCUUCCUGCUAUGGGACAUAAUCCCACUAAAACUUCCUCUUUGAAAUACACAUUUAAUCCAAAUCCUCACUUAUCUGAGGACUGCAAUCCACCCAAUCACCCUAACCUACUCUACU